GAUGAACGCUGGCGGCGUGCUUAACACAUGCAAGUCGAACGGAAAGGCCCAAGCUUGCUUGGGUGCUCGAGUGGCGAACGGGUGAGUAACACGUGGGUGAUCUGCCCUGCACUUUGGGAUAAGCCUGGGAAACUGGGUCUAAUACCGGAUAGGACCAUCGUUUAGUGUCGGUGGUGGAAAGUUUUUCGGUGUGGGAUGAGCUCGCGGCCUAUCAGCUUGUUGGCGGGGUAAUGGCCUACCAAGGCGUCGACGGGUAGCCGGCCUGAGAGGGUGUACGGCCACCUUGGGACUGAGGUACGGCCCAGACUCCGACGGGAGGCAGCAGUGGGGAAUAUUGCACAAUGAGCGCAAGCCUGAUGCAGCGACGCCGCGUGGGGGAUGACGGCCUUCGGGUUGUAAACUCCUUUCGCCAAGGACGAAGCGUUUUGUGACGGUACUUGGAGAAGAAGCACCGGCUAACUACGUG
rnacentral:rRNA from 1 species